GCAGGGAUAGCGCAGUGGUGAGAGCGCUUGCCUCCCACCAAUUACCGCUGUGUGGGGUGCCAGAGGCUUUUCUUGCGCGGUUUCCGGUUUCAAAUCUCUCUUAUAGGGUACCCACCAAUGUGGCCUGGGUUCGAAUCUCGGACCCGGCG